GACGAACGCUGGCGGCGUGCCUAACACAUGCAAGUAGGACGCAGUUGCGAAUGGGUGAGUAACGCGUAGGUAACUACCAAUUAGAUGGGGAUAACUAAUGGAACCGAUAGCUCAUACCGCAUACUAGUAGAUGGACCUGCGUUGUAUUAGCUUGUAGGUUGGGGAAUGGCCUACCUAGGCAACGAUACACAGCCGACCUGGGAGGGUGAUCGGCCACACUGGGACUGGUACACGGCCCAGACUCGUACGGGAGGCAGCAGUAGGGAAUCUUCGGCAAUAGGGGGAACCCUGACCGAGCAACGCCGCGAGAGUGAAGAAGGUUUUCGGGUCGUAAAGCUCUGUUGUUAAGGAAGCGGUACUUAACCAGAAAGGGACGGCUAACUACGUGCCAGCAGCCGCGGUAAUAC
rnacentral:rRNA from 1 species